GCCGAACCGAAGCUUCACCUCACCCAGCUGCGUCGCCACUCUUCACCCACCAUCCCAGUGCCGAUCCAUCCGAGGGAGGAAGCUCCAACUUUCCCUCUCCACCUCUCUUUCAUCGUCGGCCGCCGAAAAGGGGCACGCCGCCGAUCGCCAACGACGACGGGAACGCGACCUCGUCUACGGAGCUCUGGAGCGCGCUCCAAGCGCCGCCGCAGCCGACAUCGUCGCCGUUCCGACCGCUGUAGACCGAUCCAAGCCGAGCCGUCACGCCAACGCCUUCUCCUUGAAGUCCUCCUCAAAACCCCUCAAUAAUCCCAGGCAACGGCGCAGCAAGUGCGGAGAUCGGCCACCGUCUUCUUCACCUCCGGUUGCCAUCGCCAUUGUCGUUUCCGCCUCCUCCGCAGCUCGUCGUCCCGUUCGAGCCGUCGCCGUUCACCCGCAGAAGGACGCCGUCGCCGGGAGGAUGCGCGAGCCGUUGCUGUCACCAAGACCCCGGAAAACAUCAACCUAACCCGCGAUGAUUGCUUAAACGGUGAAGAAGUGAUUUAGGUGCUGACAUUUUCCUGAUUCAAGGCAAGUCCCACCUCCCUCUCUUUGAUCACUUUGAACCUAUGUUUUGGAGGUUAUUGAAAAUGUUUGCAAAUCCUGCAUGUCGAUUGUAUACUAACAAAUUAAAAUGGUGUUAAACUUGUUAGACAAAUUCCUAUUAUUUGCAUUAUCACCUUAACCCCACAUAUAUCCAUAUCCAUCAUUCCUAACCUUAGGAACAAUAUGACUAUACCACUUUUUAUAUGAGUUUUGGUGACACUAGGUUACUAUAAAGCUUAGCCAUGCUUAGAAUGGUCUUCCUUGUCAUUAUGGGCUCAUUACAAACAUGAAAAUUGAUUUAUAAUUAAUCUGGGCAGAACUUUAAUACUUGUGAUUUUGAUAAAUAAAAUGGUGGAAAACAUGGAUUUUAGGUUUAGGCCUCAAGUGGUGCACAUAUGGUGAUUAGUUGUGUACCGAUAGGGGGAGAGUGUGCCCAAACCGACCUAAGGACUUCAC